CCAUUGAUCAGUACUACGUGUAUGCGUUUCUUAGGAAGAAUUGUCGAGAACAUAGUGUGUAAAUGGAAUCACACUGAUUGGGAUUCGAUCCCAAACAACUCUUUAUGAAGAAAUUGGGCUAUAUUCUUAAGCUGAGAAGAGUAUGGCGAAAGAUGUGGGAGCUUUGCAGAGAGUCUUGCUGGAAGCAUCGACGGAGGAGAAAACGGUGAUACUAACGACCUUAUACCAGGCUUGGGCUGAGCCUAACUCAACGUUCGAUUUGUUUCUGGAGGGUUUCCACGUCGGAGUAGGGACUAAGCGACUGCUCCGCCACCUUGUAGUGGUUUGUAUGUAUGGACGAGGAAGCUUACUCAAGGUGCUUGGAGAUCCAUCCCCGCCGUUGCUAUUGAUUUUUCUUUUCCGGCCAGAAGAACUUCAUGACACCGGACUAUCUCAAGAUGAUGUGGCGCCGCCUAGAGUUCUUGGGUUCUAUCUUGGAGCUUGGAUAUAAUAAGAGCAUCAUUAACUGGGGGAAAGAAGAUACUGUCUUCUGAGACGGGUGUUGUGUAUUGGUUGUUCUUCUCCUUCUCUUCUUCGCCUUCUCGUUCUUCUGCUGCUUGGCUGUUCAUCUCUGUCUCGUGGAUCGAAAAACUAAAGCGAAUGGACAAAGGCAAAGCAGUGAUGGGUACUGGCCGGAGAUGGGCCGUCGAUUUCUCCGAUCAAUCCACCGUUCCAUCUUCCCGCGACAUUCUCGAUCCCCCUGGCUUCAUACGUGUAUAUCCUCCGCCUCUUCGAGCAGAUUUUGUUUUGUUUUCUUCAGCUCUUCCUCGUCUUUGGCGAUUCUCCUCCUAGCCUCCGUUAUCCAACCAUGAACGAGAAGGCCAACGUAUCCAAGGAGCUUAAUGCCCGCCACAGAAAG